UACGUAGGUGGCAAGCGUUGUCCGGAAUUAUUGGGCGUAAAGCGCGCGCAGGUGGUUUCUUAAGUCUGAUGUGAAAGCUCACGGCUCAACCGUGGAGGGUCAUUGGAAACUGGGGAACUUGAGUGCAGAAGAGGAUAGUGGAAUUCCAAGUGUAGCGGUGAAAUGCGUAGAGAUUUGGAGGAACACCAGUGGCGAAGGCGACUAUCUGGUCUGUAACUGACACUGAGGCGCGAAAGCGUGGGGAGCAAACAGG
rnacentral:rRNA from 1 species